UACGUAGGGUGCAAGCGUUAAUCGGAAUUACUGGGCGUAAAGCGUGCGCAGGCGGUUUUGUAAGUCUGUCGUGAAAUCCCCGGGCUCAACCUGGGAAUUGCGAUGGAGACUGCAAGGCCAGAAUCUGGCAGAGGGGGGUAGAAUUCCACGUGUGGCAGUGAAAUGCGUAGAGAUGUGGAGGAACACCGAUGGCGAAGGCAGCCCCCUGGGUCAAGAUUGACGCUCAUGCACGAAAGCGUGGGGAGCAAACAGG
rnacentral:rRNA from 1 species